AGUGAACGCUGGCGGCAGGCCUAAUACAUGCAAGUCGAACGGCAGCACAGUGGAGCUUGCUCCAUGGGUGGCGAGUGGCGGACGGGUGAGGAAUACAUGGGAAUCUGCCCAGUCGUGGGGGAUAACGUAUGGAAACGUACGCUAAUACCGCAUGCGCCCUUCGGGGGAAAGUCGGGGACCGCAAGGCCUGACGCGAUUGGAUGAGCCCAUGUUCGAUUAGCUAGUUGGCGGGGAAACGGCCCACCAAGGCGACGAUCGAUAGCUGGUCUGAGAGGAUGAUCAGCCACACUGGAACUGAGACACGGUCCAGACUCCUACGGGAGGCAGCAGUAGGGAAUAUUGGACAAUGGCCGCAAGCCUGAUCCAGCCAUGCCGCCGUGAGUGAAGAAGGCCUC
rnacentral:rRNA from 1 species